rnacentral:lncRNA from 13 species
CAAUUGACUCUAAUAAGUCUGAUACUUGUUGCAUUUUUGAUAAAGCAAAAAGCCUUGCUGAGGUCAUUUGUGUUUGCUGUGCUCCACUCUUGCUCUUCCAGAUGACCUCCAUACUACAUUGCUGGCUUCUUGUUGGGUAAGUUCUUGGCUCUCAGGUCACCAGGUCUUAGCUUUUGCUUGGGAUAUGCCCAUGUCUAAAAUUCCUUUAUUUAUUUUUAUUUCUUUAUUGCAGUUUCUCUUCCUCAAAAGCUUUGGUGGAAAGAUGAACGUGGAUCUUGUCUACUUUGUUACCUGUUGUAUUCUUGGUGGUCAGAAUAGUGCACAUGGUGAAAAUGUAAAAUGAUGCAGCCAAUCUGGAGAGCAACCUGGGAAUAACAGGAGAAGUGGCAUGCGUCUGCACACAACAAGCGUGCAGUAGUUCUUUCCAGUAUAACCCAUGGCUAAUAUAAAGAAGAUGACAAUUAGCAUGUGGGGAGUCCACACGACAUUUUGAUAUUAAACGUGGGUUCUUCUUCUUGACAAGGGGGGAAUAUGCUGCUCUAGCAAGAUUGCAAUGAUGAACCCCAGGGAUACACACCUACCUACUGAGAGACCUCCAAACAGAGACAUCAACAUAGAAACCUCCGCAGAGAUAACCAGAUCUCCAUAUGCAAACUCAUGCAAAAAGAAACCUAGAGAGACAGAUGCCCAGAAGAGGGGUGUGAGUAUAAGCUUUGCAGAUGGAGCUACCGCCUGGAAGGACCCAAUGUGCUUCAGUGCCUGAUGCCCACUCCUCAAAAAACAAAACAAAACCCAAAACAAGAAGCGGUGUAGAGAGAAAGGAAAAUUACCAAAAGGAAAAAUUACUUGGUCUAGAAUUAUUUAGUGACUGUCCAAGUACCUGCACCAGUGUCUGACCAAUAAAGCAUAUUCAAUAGUGAAUACA